UACAGAGGGUGCGAACGUUGCUCGGAAUUACUGGGCGUAAAGCGCGUGUAGGCGGGCUUGCAAGUCAGGUGUGAAAGCCCCAGGCUCAACCUGGGAACUGCACUUGAAACUGCGAGUCUUGAGUACUGGAGAGGAAAGCGGAAUUCCUGGUGUAGAGGUGAAAUUCGUAGAUAUCAGGAGGAACACCAGUGGCGAAGGCGGCUUUCUGGACAGUGACUGACGCUGAGACGCGAAAGCGUGGGGAGCAAACAGG
rnacentral:rRNA from 1 species